rnacentral:rRNA from 1 species
AGAACGAACGCUGGCGGCGUGCUUAACACAUGCAAGUCGAGUGCGCGCCUGUAGCAAUACAGGUGGCGCACGGCGCACGGGUGCGUAACACGUGGGUAAUCUGCCCUUCGAUGGGGAAUAACUCGCCGAAAGGCGAGCUAAUUCCGCAUAACAUUCCAAGGACUUCGGUUUUUGGACUCAAAGGCGUAAGUCGUCGGAGGAGGAGCCCGCGCACGAUUAGCUAGUUGGUGAGGUAAUGGCUCACCAAGGCUAUGAUCGUUA